AAACACUAUCACACACUUUUCAUUUCAACUUCACCUUCUCAUUUCAACACAAAACAUAAAGUAAGAGCUGCACCUCUUCUUCCUUAAUUCCUCAACCUAAAACAACACCAACACCAUAAGACCUCCUAAACACUUGUCUUCUUUCAUCACCAUCUCUUUGGGUAUAUAGCGAAGGUUAGAAGUGGAAAAAUUAGAGUUAGAGAUUUGUCUUCUCAGACACCAAAAUUUGGGGAUUCUACUUUUAGAGGCUUUUAUUUUUGAAUUAUGGCAAAAAGGACAAGACGAUCUAGAAGGCCGAGACGUAAUCCUCCACAAGCAGCUAACGUUCCUCCACCACCCCCACCUCCUGUUACUGAACAAGGAACAUUAGAAGUUAUCCAACAACAAGCGAUGGCUACUACCAACCUGGUUUAGCAUCUGACUCAACUAGGGGGUGUUAGUCAAGCAGCUAAUAGGACUUUCUACAACUUCCUUAUGAUUAAGCCUUCAGUAGUACAAUGCUCGGAGUGCAAGAAAGUGGUAUUUUCUUGAAGGAAGUCAUAACCCAACUAAAUCUCAAGCAUGGAUUGAAGAGAUAAAGAAAGUAUUUGAAAUCGUAUAGUGCUUGGAGGAGUAGAAAGUGGUGUUUUCCACUCAUUUACUGUAGGGUGAAAUAGAGCAUUAGAGGAAAGGGGAAAAGGCUCACAUGUUGACUUUGGAAACACCAUUGGAUUGGGAGCACUUUGAGUUGGUUUUCUUGGAAAAGUAUUACCCAAAGAGUGCGAGGAAGCAGAAAGAGUUAUAGUUCAUUCACCUACAGGAAGGAGACACGACGGUAGCUGAGUAUAUGGCCAAAUUUGAAGAACAAGAAAGAUUCCCGUCCCUCACUAGAUAUGAACCAUACAAAGAGUAGAGUGGAAGAUUGACCAAUUUGAAUGGGGCUUGAAACCAAAAUAAGAAGCAGUGUGGGACAAUUGGGAACUACAAUUUAUGCCACCCAAUGGCAUUAGAGUUACAUUGUUGAGGGAAAUUUGAAGAAGGUGGAAGAGAAUAAGAAGACCAAGUGGAAGCAACUAAAGGAUUCCAACAAGUUCAAUCAACAAGGAAAAGGAAAAGGAAAAGGAAAAGGAAAACAACCAAAAACCUCAUCUUCAGUACGUGGAGGAAAUGUUGUAAGCGUGAAAGAGAGCAUGCAUGAGAAUAUUUGGUUGGGAAGAAUGUUUGCUACUGGUGUAAACAACCAAGACACAUGUUCCUUAACAACCCAUCUUAUAAGAAGAGGGAUGACUCCAUUGUCAAUUAAUUCUCAACUUUUUCAAUGUUUAGUCGAUGGGUAUCAAGGCAUUUUAUUUUUGCUUUCUUCAAAAUCAGAAUUCAGAAAAGGACAUCUCUAACAUACUAGUAGUGAAUGAAUUUAAAGAUGUCUAUCCAUAACAUAUAAUGACUUGACCACCUGAAAGAGAAAUUAAAUUUACCAUAAACCUAAUUCUUGGGUCAGGACCUAUAUCAAUUGCUCUAUAUAUGAUGUCACCAUGUAAAUUGAGUGAACUUAAGAGUGAGUUAGAAGACCACAUUGGGAAGCAGUUUAUUAGGCCUAGUGCCUCACACUGGGGAUUGUUGGCUUUCGUACCCCCAAUUAAACUUGUACCUCCCAAUUAAAUUUUUUUGAUUGAAAUAUCCAAAAUAAUCUUAAGAAAAUUAGUAAAAACAAAAAAAAAAAAA